ensembl:snRNA
ACCAUCAUUUCCUGGGGCUUGUGCAACUGUCCAAUGAGUGCGUAGUGAGCGCUGUACUGCUAAUGCCUACACAACAUGCCUGCAUCAACUAGAGCUUUGCUUUACCUUGGUGUAAUGAUUUUGAAAAA